CCUCUCGUAGCUUCCAGGUCCGCGUUGCCCCUGACGGACCUGGCAGCCCCUCGGGACCUGGUGGGUCCGUCUCCAGAAGCCAGGUCUGUGCAGGCCCAACGCCCGCGGCGGGAUGAGCGUCUCCAGGCGGGGAUCUGUUUCUCUGUCCCCAGUCAACCGUGUGUGAGAAGAUCAUGGAGCUGCUGGGACAGAAUGAAGUAGACCACCGGCAGCGGAAGCUGGUCAUCCUCAGUCAGGACAGUUUCUAUAAGGUCCUGACUGCGGAACAGAAGGCCAAGGCCUUGAAGGGACAGUACAAUUUCGACCAUCCAGAUGCUUUUGAUAACGAUUUGAUGCACAGGACUCUGAAAAACAUUGUGGAAGGCAAAACUGUCGAGGUCCCAACCUAUGAUUUUGUGACCCACUCAAGGUUAGCGGAGACCACAGUGGUCUACCCUGCAGACGUGGUCCUGUUUGAGGGCAUCUUGGUGUUCUACAGCCAGGAGAUCCGGGACAUGUUCCACCUGCGCCUCUUUGUGGACACUGACUCCGAUGUCAGGCUGUCAAGAAGAGUUCUUCGGGACGUGCACCGUGGCCGGGACCUGGAGCAGAUUCUGACGCAGUACACCACCUUCGUCAAGCCAGCCUUCGAGGAGUUCUGCCUCCCGACGAAGAAGUAUGCUGACGUGAUAAUCCCUCGAGGGGUGGACAACAUGGGUAAGGACAAGGCCUGCCGGCCACCCCGACCCCUCCCAGGGCCAUGAAGCAGGCACUGCCCUUCCUGUCACGGUCCCUGAGAUGUCCCUGCGUGAGGCGUAUCGGUGGCACUUGGAAAAAUAUUAAACGUGUUGUACAGCUUAAACUGACGCAACAUACUGUGUCAGUUACACCUCAGUGCAGCUGGAGGGGAAAAUAGACGUAUGGAAAACUGUUUGCAGGGAGCCACUUGUUAGCAGGAAGUAUUUUAACCAGCGUUAGUACCGAAACCCUCAUCCACCAAGCCGGGUAGGUUUUGUGCUCGGCCCUGGCGCGCACCCGUCUGUCUGCGGAGGCCCCGGGGAGAAGGGCCGCAUGCUUCCCGAGUAAGGACGCUGAGCGGUUCCCUAGUGGCCAUCAACUUGAUUGUGCAGCACAUCCAGGACAUCCUCAACGGCGACAUCUGCAAGUGGCACCGCGGAGGGUCCAACGGGCGCAGCUACAAGAGGACGUUUUCCGAGCCCGGGGACCACCCCGGGGUGCUGAC